rnacentral:rRNA from 1 species
UGGCCUACGGGGGGCAGCAGUGAGGAAUAUUGGGCAAUGGGCGCAAGCCUGACCCAGCCAUGCCGCGUGAAGGAUGAAUGCCCUAUGGGUUGUAAACUUCUUUUGUACGGGACGAAACUUCCGGUCGUGACCGGGAUUGACUGUACCGUACGAAUAAGCAUCGGCUAACUCCGUGCCAGCAGCCGCGGUAAUACGGAGGAUGCAAGCGUUAUCCGGAUUCAUUGGGUUUAAAGGGUGCGUAGGCGGAAUAAUAAGUCAGUGGUGAAAGCCUGCGGCUUAACCGUAGAAUUGCCAUUGAUACUGUUGUUCUUGAGUAUAGUUGAGGUGGGCGGAAUGUGUAAUGUAGCGGUGAAAUGCUUAGAUAUUACACAGAACACCAAUUGCGAAGGCAGCUCACUAAGCUGUUACUGACGCUGAGGCACGAAAGCGUGGGGAGCAAACAGGAUUAGAUACCCUGGUAGUC